rnacentral:rRNA from 1 species
UCAAAACGACUCUCGGCAACGGAUAUCUCGGCUCUCGCAUCGAUGAAGAACGUAGCGAAAUGCGAUACUUGGUGUGAAUUGCAGAAUCCCGUGAAUCAUCGAGUCUUUGAACGCAAGUUGCGCCCGAAGCCAUUAGGCUGAGGGCACGUCUGCCUGGGCGUCACGC